AUUGAACGCUGGCGGCAUGCUUUACACAUGCAAGUCGAACGGUAACAGGCCGCAAGGUGCUGACGAGUGGCGAACGGGUGAGUAAUGCAUCGGAACGUGCCCAGUCGUGGGGGAUAACUACUCGAAAGAGAAGCUAAUACCGCAUACGAUCUAUGGAUGAAAGCGGGGGACCGUAAGGCCUCGCGCGAUUGGAGCGGCCGAUGUCAGAUUAGGUAGUUGGUGGGGUAAAGGCUCACCAAGCCAACGAUCUGUAGCUGGUCUGAGAGGACGACCAGCCACACUGGGACUGAGACACGGCCCAGACUCCUACGGGAGGCAGCAGUGGGGAAUUUUGGACAAUGGGCGCAAGCCUGAUCCAGCAAUGCCGCGUGCAGGAAGAAGGCCUUCGGGUUGUAAACUGCUUUUUUACGGAACGAAACGGCUCUGGUUAAUACCCGGGGCUAAUGACGGUACCGUAAGAAUAAGCACCGGCUAACUACGUG
rnacentral:rRNA from 1 species